AGCAGCGGGCGGCCGCCAUGCUGCCGGCGGGCGCUGCCGCACUUCCGUCCCGUUCCGCCCCGCUCCGCUCCGCCCCGCUCCGCGCAGGCGCCGGGGGAGCCGCGGGCCGCAGGGCCCCUCCGCGCGUGGGGUCGCGCACGUCCGCUGCGAGCUGCGGGGGCCACUCCCAGGGGUCCCGGGUUCGCGUCCCGGCUCGGCCGGGUGCCGGCGGGUUUGCGGGAAACGAGAAAUAAUGUUCUUGCAUCGUAACAAGAGAGAUUUAUGUCAGAGAAGAAAAAAAAAUGCAUUGGAACACUUGGAGACCAGAAGAGCUUAACAAGCAGCUUUUGGGAUUGUUUUGGAUCUAGCUCCUGCUGCCUGGGAGCAUAGGAUGUCCUAGAUGACUUCUUGGGAUCUUUUCCAGCUCUAUUUUCUAUAAGUCCCAUAAAAGACAGGAAAAAAAAUAUCCCAUGUAUGCUGAAAAUCAUAGUAACUGCUCUCUAUUCCUGGGUAUAAACAGCAAGUAAUUAUGACCAAGAAGAUUUGAGCAGUUGGAUUGUAUUGUUUUAACAUCUCAGACAUUCUUGAGUGAUGUAUUCCUGUGAGUGCUAUUUACAGUCCUACACCCAGAAUGACUAUCUUAGAAACUAUUCUUGUAUUUUGAACAUUUAUAAUCCUUUAACUGAACGUGGAGAAUAAUAAACACUGCUGUGAACUAAGCUUUCUGGCCUUCUGCUUGAAAGGUUUACUUUUGCCUCAAAAGUUGGACUACAAUAGUUUAUAAAAAUGAGAAAGAAACAAUUGGUAACUUUUCUCGUUUUAGACUUAGCAACCUUGAUAUUGUAGCUACAUUUCUAGCUAUUAUGGGGCAGUUAACAUCCGUUUAUUUGUUUUACAGCUACAGAAACCAAAACACAGAUGGAAAAUCAUCAGUCAGAGUAUGUGGACCAGUUUGGUCCCUGAGGUCCUGGACCCACAGGUGUAGCCAGCCUUCCCUCUGGGAUACCUGACUUUGGGCACCCAAUGGCAGGUCAGCGGAAACUGCACCUGCAGACCUCCUGCUCCAACCGGCCGUGUUCCUCACCAGAUGAUAAUGGCCACCAGCCUCAUGAUGGCUUCGUUGAGGCAGUUAAAGAACUCCCGCAGGGCCCGUCCCUUCUGCUUCAUGCUGCCGAUCACCAAACCGAA